rnacentral:rRNA from 1 species
GAUGAACGCUGGCGGCGUGCCUAAUACAUGCAAGUCGAGCGAACAGACGAGGAGCUUGCUCCUCUGACGUUAGCGGCGGACGGGUGAGUAACACGUGGAUAACCUACCUAUAAGACUGGGAUAACUUCGGGAAACCGGAGCUAAUACCGGAUAAUAUAUUGAACCGCAUGGUUCAAUAGUGAAAGACGGUUUUGCUGUCACUUAUAGAUGGAUCCGCGCCGCAUUAGCUAGUUGGUAAGGUAACGGCUUACCAAGGGGACGAUGCGUAGCCGACCUGAGAGGGUGAUCGGCCACACUGGAACUGAGACACGGUCCAGACUCCUACGGGAGGCAGCAGUAGGGAAUCUUCCGCAAUGGGCGAAAGCCUGACGGAGCAACGCCGCGGGAGUGAUGAAGGUCUUCGGAUCGUAAAACUCUGUUAUUAGGGAAGAACAAAUGUGUAAGUAACUAUGCACGUCUUGACGGUACCUAAUCAGAAAGCCACGGCUAACUACGUG